rnacentral:tRNA from 1 species
GUAGACGCUACGGACUAAAAUCCGUUGGCUUUAAUAGACCUUGAGGGUUCAAGUCCCUCUACCCCCA